AGGUGGAAGGAAGAAGAAAAGUCUGAACAAGGAUCAGGAGACAUUGUAUUAGGAGGAUAUGGCCCAGAGUGGGCCGAGAGUAUUUGAGAAGUAGAAGGGGAUUCACAGAGAGCGAAGAGCAAAGAAAGCCUGAACAGAAGGGACUUCUAACCACUUGCCAUUGCGGCAGCAGAAGUUAUCGCGCUCCGGUAGAGUAUUAGAAUCAAGAGUUCCCUUUUCUGGCCACUGGGACCUGUUAUCAAGUCGGUUUUGCGGCCAGUGUUAGAAUAGUGAUUUCUUACUCAUCAUGUUGCAAGCCUGGGAAUCAGCAAACCAAGCCUUCAGAGGAUGCAAACAGAAGGCCUGAGAAACAGCAGGUUAAUCAGAAAGAAAACAGAAGGUGUAAUGCCCUAUUCUAGGGGAUCUUCCUGACCCAAGAAUCAUCAAACCCCUGUCUCUGUUUCCUGCAUUGGCAGACAGGUUCUUUACUGCUAGCACCACCUGGAAAGCCUGCAUAUAAAAGGAGAAGUAAACAAGAGAGCGUAUAGCCCAAGGUUAUGGAACUUAAACACUGUCAGAUUUGGGUUUUUGUAGAUAUCCUGGGGGAAAAAAAAAUAGCAGCAUUGAAUAGGAUUUAUGUAUAAACAUAGAGAAUAUUUGAUCUCUGAUAAAUUUUUAGUACUCAGUAAUCUAAAACAAAACAAAAAAGGAAAAGCUUAAGAAAAGAAUAAAGAAUGAUAAAGAA